GAGACACCCUUCUGGGGCAAGACUUGCUUCAGUGGGCUCACUGAGUCUGCCCCCUGAGUGUGUCCCU
rfam:Myotis lucifugus cont2.4261, whole genome shotgun sequence.